rnacentral:rRNA from 1 species
GACGAGGGGUCCAAGCGUUGUUCGGAAUUAUUGGGCGUAAAGCGGGUGUAGGCGGCUUUGUAAGUUAGAGGUGAAAGCCCGGAGCUCAACUCCGGAACUGCCUUUAAGACUGCAUCGCUAGAAUCAUGGAGAGGUGAGUGGAAUUCCGAGUGUAGAGGUGAAAUUCGUAGAUAUUCGGAAGAACACCAGUGGCGAAGGCGACUCACUGGACAUGUAUUGACGCUGAGGUGCGAAAGCGUGGGGAGCGAACCGGAGUUAGAA